GAUGAACGCUGGCGGCGUGCCUAAUACAUGCAAGUCGAGCGAACAGACGAGGAGCUUGCUCCUCUGACGUUAGCGGCGGACGGGUGAGUAACACGUGGAUAACCUACCUAUAAGACUGGGAUAACUUCGGGAAACCGGAGCUAAUACCGGAUAACAUGUUGAACCGCAUGGUUCAACAGUGAAAGACGGUCUUGCUGUCACUUAUAGAUGGAUCCGCGCCGCAUUAGCUAGUUGGUAAGGUAACGGCUUACCAAGGCAACGAUGCGUAGCCGACCUGAGAGGGUGAUCGGCCACACUGGAACUGAGACACGGUCCAGACUCCUACGGGGGGCAGCAGUAGGGAAUCUUCCGCAAUGGGCGAAAUCCUGACGGAGCAACGCCGCGUGAGUGAAGAAGGUCUUCGGAUCGUAAAACUCUGUUAUUAGGGAAGAACAAAUGUGUAAGUAACUAUGCACGUCUUGACGGUACCUAAUCAGAAAGCCACGGCUAACUACGUG
rnacentral:rRNA from 1 species